AGUCUUAGUUAGAUCCUUCUGAUAAAGAUUCCAGGUGCCCAUUCAAAUUACUUUGAAAGAUCAGUGCAAACUUUUUAGUUCAUUUAAACAAAAGAACAAACUGAAAUUGGCCACAGCUGUGAUAAAACCUACUUUGAUUACUUUAUGUGCUACAUCAGCAGCAUCAAUGAUUUUUAAUAAAAGAACAGAAUUUAGGGAGUUAUUUCCUUAAUAGAAAAUUUUAGUUUGGUUUAACAUGUUCUGUCUAUCUGAAGUUUGAAACAAAAGCUGCUAUUUUCUGUAGUUAUAGGCAGUUUUAUUGUGAAGUUCUCUGUAUUUUACAAAACUGAAGUCAACCCCUUUAAGUAAAGUACUGUCAUCUGAGAGAACUACUACUGCAGAGGUCAGCAGAACGGGACAGAAAGCAGCAGCUGUUAUCUUGUGCAGCCUUUGUUUUAUGCACUGCUCCAUCAGCUGAAAAUCUUGUCCAGCAUCAUUCUCUUGCCACACAGAGGACUCAGCUAAAUUAUCUUCCUGUAGUAUCCCGGCCACACAUGGAUUUCCUGACCAGUCACAAUGUUUAACCCAUAAGAUGGCCUCUGGCGUACUCACACUGUUCCAGUAGGAAUGUAGGGAAAAACCUCAGAUAUGCCCAAUCCUUUCUGUGUUUUCCAAGACAUCCCAACUUGUACCCUACUUUUUAAAAUUUCUUCCAUGUUCUUUAUCUAAGCUUGUCCAAUAAAUUAUAGCUGGGAUGGUUUUUGGCCAUUAUAGUUUAAAUCUGUAUGGGUUCUAGCCAAGAGGAAGGUACUGCUGACUUAAUUACCAAAGAAGGACCAGGGUAGAGGGAAUGAGAAGUAUGCUGAAAGUCUGCUUCUUUAAGAGGAAGAUGCUUUUCUAUUGUGAAUUUUCCAGAAGUUAUAGGUCAACUAACUUUGAAGAACUUCAGUGGUGAAAUUGUGUGGCUUGUGGGUUCCUUCAGGGUGUCUGGGAGUGUGACUGGCAGCAGUGAAAGUAGCUCUAGCUUCUCCCAACAGCUGCAACUGCUCCGAGUUCUGUAGAACAUAAGGAAGCCAUUUGAGAAGAGAACAAAUGCCAUUUUAUUUUCUUUUCCCGCUUCAGAAAUGGGCUGGUGCUUUCAUUCUGCAUUUCUUGUCCUAUCAGGUCACUGUGUCAACCACUGACAACAUAAUCAUUAUAAUUAAGAAAUUAUGUUUUAGCCUGAUGCUGGGUGAUUCUUUUUCUGCUUGUUGGGAGGAAGUAGUGUCUUUUAUUUGUACCUUCAGUAAAAAAUUCCCUCCAUUUUUUUUUUUUUUUUACAGUAACAAAUGUGCUAAUAAAUUACAGUCAAGUAGAAGGUGAAGCCUUCUCUGUCAGCUUCAGUCUCGUGCUACUGUCCUUUAAAGUAUUAUGUUUGGUUUAGGGGUUACAGAAUGGAAGAUAGAUGGCAGAGAAUCACCUUUACCUUACAAGCAGUUGCUCUUAGAAGAGGAUAAUUAAAUCAAGUAUGCCAAAUAGACAGGAAGGAGGGAGCCAACACGUUUCAUGGCAGAGAUGAGGAAGAGCAGUGCAGAAUGACUGCCAGCUGCGGAAUGACAGGAUGCAGAGGUGGGGCAUGAGUAUCAUCACAAGCAUGAAACUGAACGGAAGAGGACAAAAAUGCAGAGAGGUGGAGAAAUAAAACAGAGCACAUUGCAAAACAUUUCCAAUAAUCA